rnacentral:tRNA from 1 species
GGAACAAAAUGUAGCUUAAUGUUAAAGCCCCUCGCUUACACCGAGAUGCCAUCUGUUCAACCAGAUCAUUUU